GACGAACGCUGGCGGCGUGCUUAACACAUGCAAGUCGAACGGAAAGGCCCCUUUGGGGGUACUCGAGUGGCGAACGGGUGAGUAACACGUGAGUAACCUGCCCUUGACUUCGGGAUAACUUCAGGAAACUGGGGCUAAUACCGGAUAGGAAUCCUUGCUGCAUGGUGGGGGUUGGAAAGCUUCGGCGGUUUUGGAUGGACUCGCGGCUUAUCAGCUUGUUGGUGGGGUAGUGGCUUACCAAGGCUUUGACGGGUAGCCGGCCUGAGAGGGCGACCGGCCACAUUGGGACUGAGAUACGGCCCAGACUCCUACGGGAGGCAGCAGUGGGGAAUAUUGCACAAUGGGCGGAAGCCUGAUGCAGCAACGCCGCGUGCGGGAUGACGGCCUUCGGGUUGUAAACCGCUUUCAGCAGGGGCGAAGCUUGUGGUGACGGUACCUGCAGAAGAAGAACCGGCUAACUACGUG
rnacentral:rRNA from 1 species